UACGAAGGGGGCUAGCGUUGCUCGGAAUUACCGGGCGUAAAGGGCGCGUAGGCGGAUGUCUAAGUUGGGGGUGAAAUCCUGGAGCUCAACUCCAGAACUGCCUUUGAUACUGAGGAUCUUGAGUUCGGGAGAGGUGAGUGGAACUGCGAGUGUAGAGGUGAAAUUCGUAGAUAUUCGCAAGAACACCAGUGGCGAAGGCGGCUCACUGGCCCGAUACUGACGCUGAGGCACGAAAGCCAGGGGAGCAAACGGG
rnacentral:rRNA from 1 species